rnacentral:rRNA from 1 species
UACGUAGGUGGCAAGCGUUGUCCGGAUUUACUGGGCGUAAAGAGCGCGCAGGCGGUCGAUUUAGUCGCGUGUGAAAGCCCCCGGCUCAACUGGGGAGGGUCACGCGAUACUGAUCGACUCGAAGGCAGGAGAGGGUAGUGGAAUUCCCGGUGUAGUGGUGAAAUGCGUAGAUAUCGGGAGGAACACCAGUGGCGAAGGCGACUUACUGGACUGUAACUGACGCUGAGGCAUGAAAGCGUGGGGAGCAAACAGG